rnacentral:ncRNA from 1 species
UACCUUUGCACACGAAUUGAGAGAAUCUCGGUUCAUACAUAAUAAUCAUUUAAAGAAUAUUAGCAUG